AGAGUUUGAUCCUGGCUCAGAACGAACGCUGGCGGCAGGCCUAACACAUGCAAGUCGAGCGCCCCGCAAGGGGAGCGGCGGACGGGUGAGUAACACGUGGGAAUUUUCCUCAAGGUACGGAACAACUCAGGGAAACUUGGGCUAAUACCGUAUGAUGCAGAGAUGCCAAAGAUUUAUCGCCUUGGGAUAAGCCCGCGUCAGAUUAGGUAGUUGGUGAGGUAACGGCUCACCAAGCCUGUGAUCUGUAGCUGGUCUGAGAGGACGAUCAGCCACAUUGGGACUGAGACACGGCCCAAACUCCUACGGGAGGCAGCAGUGGGGAAUCUUGCGCAAUGGGCGAAAGCCUGACGCAGCCAUGCCGCGUGAAUGAUGAAGGUCUUAGGAUUGUAAAGUUCUUUCGCUCGUGACGAUGAUGACGGUAACGAGAGAAGAAGCCCCGGCUAACUUCGUGCCAGCAGCCGCGGUAAUACGAAGGGGGCUAGCGUUGUUCGGAAUUACUGGGCGUAAAGCGCGCGUAGGCGGCUUUGCAAGCCAGAGGUGAAAUGCCUGAGCUCAACUUAGGAAUUGCCUUUGGGACUGCGAGGCUUCGAGGACUGGAGAGGUGAGUGGAAUUCCCAGUGUAGAGGUGAAAUUCGUAGAUAUUGGGAAGAACACCAGUGGCGAAGGCGGCUCACUGGCCAGUUUCUGACGCUAAAGUGCGAAAGCGUGGGGAUCAAACAGGAUUAGAUACCCUGGUAGU
rnacentral:rRNA from 1 species